rnacentral:rRNA from 1 species
GAUGAACGCUGGCGGCGUGCCUAAUACAUGCAAGUCGAGCGAACGGACGAGAAGCUUGCUUCUCUGAUGUUAGCGGCGGACGGGUGAGUAACACGUGGAUAACCUACCUAUAAGACUGGGAUAACUUCGGGAAACCGUAGCUAAUACCGGAUAAUAUUUUGAACCGCAUGGUUCAAAAGUGAAAGACGGUCUUGCUGUCACUUAUAGAUGGAUCCGGGCUGCAUGAGCUAGUUGGUAAGGUAACGGCUUACCAAGGCAACUAUGCAUAGCCGACCUGAGAGGGUGAUCGGCCACAUGGGAACUGAGACACGGUCAAGACUACUACGGGAGGCAGCAGUAGGGAAUCGUCCGCAAUGGGCGAAAGCCUGACGGAGCAACGCGGCGUGAGUGAUGAAGGUCUUCGGAGCGUAAAACUCUGUUAUUAGGGAAGAACAGAUGUGUAAGUAACUGUGCACAUCUUGACGGUACCUAAUCAGAAAGCCACGGCUAACUACGUG